GUGCUUGCUUCAGCAGCACAUAUACUAAAAACUGGAACAAUACAGAGAUUAUUAUGGCCCCUGAGCAAG
rnacentral:snRNA from 1 species